AUCGCUUCUCAGCCUUUUGGCUAAGAUCAAGUGUAAAGUCUAAUUUAAGUUAACAAUCUAAAAACGAGUUAUUUACUAGGUAAGAGACUUUCAUACUUACUUCCUGUGCUCUUUCCUUGAGCACAAAUUUAUUGGGAAGAAUACUUAACACUUGAGGAUCCAGCAAAAGUUUUUUCUGAGAAUCCUUAAAACCUAC